rnacentral:rRNA from 1 species
UACAGAGGGUGCAAGCGUUAAUCGGAAUUACUGGGCGUAAAGGGCGCGUAGGCGGUUAAUUAAGUUAGUUGUGAAAUCCCUGGGCUUAACCUAGGAAUUGCAACUGAUACUGAUUGACUGGAGUACUGUAGAGGGUAGUGGAAUUUCCGGUGUAGCGGUGAAAUGCGUAGAUAUCGGAAGGAACACCAGUGGCGAAGGCGGCUACCUGGACAGAUACUGACGCUGAGGCGCGAGAGCGUGGGGAGCAAACAGG